UCUUGCUUCAUUUACUGGGAGGGUCAACUGAGAUAAUAAGUCAGAAUGUGUUUUUAAAAUUCUGGAGCCCAACUGUAGAAAAAAUCUAUAGAAAAGUAAUUUUUUUCUUGAAACAACUGUCUUGUUGUGAUCAUGACCUAAUGGUGAUCACAAUUUCUAGAUAGAAGACUACCUCCAAAAGAUGCCCAUGGCUCUCCCAGGCUUAAACCCUCUUAUGGCAACCAUUGCCUCCUAUUGGGAAGCAGGGAGCAUAGCUUUUACACUGCACUGAAGAUAUCCUCUCCACUUCCUCCUGUCUCCAAUGACUGGUUGCCGUAUUCUUGUGGCUGACUCCUCUGAUGAAGACAGCGCUAAUUCCAGCAGAGGCACAACACAGAGCUGUCCCAGUAGCCAAGUGUAAACCAGCAGAGUUCUUUGAUCUUCAGCCUGCUGCAUUCUUUGGGUGGCCAAAACUUUGGAAGGACAAGCUGAAAGAGUAUGUCUGGUGUUUGGAAGCCAGGUCAGAGGACUUUUUCAUACUGGCUUCAAAGUAUCCUUCAUCUUCAUAAAUGAAGAAAGCUAUCUUGGAGCAAGGAAAAUGUCGGAAGUAAAGGGUCUCACAAAAGACUUUCUUCAAUAAACUGCAGCAAAGAAAAAUUGAUGGAGCAUGAAAAUCUCGGGCUAAUAAUAGUAUAUGAAAGAAGAACAGAAAGUGUGUGCCAAGGUGUGACCCACUGAGAGAACCCUGGAGACAAGAGUGUACAGAUAAUGUAUCACGUAAUUCUAGAUUUUGUCAUGAAUUCCAUGAUGUAUUAAAAUAAUUAUUUCAGGAUAUUAUUGUCCCAUUGGCUUCAAAGGAUAAUGCAGAAAAACUAAGAGCCUCAGAAUUUUUUUAAAGAAAAUCAAAUUAGCUACCACAUUAAAAGUCUAUUUUUAUUUCAUUGUUGAUAUUUUCCAAGAAAAAAUAUAUUUCUAAAAUCUUCGGAAUCCAUUUGUGUGUUACCUUUUAAAACAUAGGAAAAAGGUAAAAUAGGCCAUCAGCUGAAAACACUUGUCUCUCCUGCAGUGCGAUAAUCUACUCACAUGAAAAUAUAAUGAGUCACUUUAAGAAUCAUCACACACAUCUCUUGCAGUUUGCCCAAGUGUUGGGAAUUUGUCAGGAAGAAAGCUACCUAUCAUCUGGUCUUUGGGACCACCAUGUGAUACUAUUCCAAGAUUCUGAAAAUCCAAGCAAUCUCAUUCACUGAGAGAAUAGUCAAAUGAUGUGUACUUUGUGAAAGUCAUACAAUAAAAAGAAAAACAUAACAGUAAAUCAGUUUUAUACUUUAAAUGUGAAAUUUUAGAUCCCAGUGUGUAUCACAGAACACAGUGCAAUCAUUGUUAGUUUCAUUUUUUUCCCUUAAAAAACUGCAAGGUAUUAUAAAUUGUGAAUAAUUUAAAACAUUAAAU
rnacentral:lncRNA from 1 species